ACACUUAUGGUGAAGCGGUUAUCAUGCUUGCCUUCCAUGUUCGCGCUUACGUAAUCGGUGUAACCGCUGCGUAAUUAGGGUAGCAAGCGGCAGGGGUUCGACUCCCCUUAAGUGUA